ACUCCUACGGGAGGCAGCAGUAGGGAAUCUUCGGCAAUGGACGAAAGUCUGACCGAGCAACGCCGCGUGAGUGAAGAAGGUUUUCGGAUCGUAAAACCUCUGUUGUUAGAGAAGAACAAGGAUGAGAGUAACUGUUCAUCCCUUGACGGUAUCUAACCAGAAAGCCACGC
rnacentral:rRNA from 1 species